AGUACCUACUAAUUAAGUUUUUGAAAUUCGUUGCUCUUAUUUGUUUUUGAACAAAAACAAAAAACCGGAUCUAAAAAUCUUGUCUUUUUCGAAAAAUUAACAAAAAAACUCUGACGCGGAAAAUUUUCAAAUUCAACCCAGAGGACGUAAGACGUCCUCGAUCAACUUGGCAAGAGAAAAUAGAAGCAGUUGGCCAAUUAGAGAUCUAGCUUGAAGAGCUUGUUGGUUGAGGCACGAAUCUACAAUGGAUUGUAGACCUGCCUAAAGGCUCUGAUCCUCCUUAGUAAAUAAAAGAGUUGGCUUCAUAACAACGGAAAUUUGCUUACAUAGGUAUUUGAUGUUGAUAAGAUUAUAUACAACUCGAAUCAAAUCGUGAAUUGUUCUGCUUUGAUGAGUUAAUACGCACAAUUGAUAAUAUGAGCACCUACAAGUUCGUGCGACAUAUUCCGAUCAUUUUCAAUUCAAUUGCGUUUCCAAUUUAUUUAUUUUUAUAGAAAUGAAUAAUUAAAAAAUGCUUAUCAUUUA